ACAUAACACCUGCUGAAAUCCUUUCUUCUAGUCAACAAUUAAGAAUACAAAACCUUUCUCCAGUUUUUAAUCUGACAACCUUAUACUGUAAGUAAUUAAUUUUUAAAAAAAUUAUAUUCCAAGCUUUGAUUGCAUUGUCAAGAUGAUAGAAGAGGAAAAACAGGAACAUGUAGCUUCCGCAGUAGCUGUUCCUCUAGUUAGAUUCUAGAAGUAACCAGAAGGAAGUGACACUUACCAUUUUCUUCCCUACAGAUGAACUUUCCAGUGCUCCCUUGCAGAACAUUGCUAUCAACAAAAUGCUACAUUUGAUAGACUUUAGGUUUGACUCGGAAGGGCAAUCCUCUCUGUUUUUUCCCCUUCACUUCAAAUUUUAUUGCUAUAUUUUUGUACCAUAUAGGAUGGCAGGUUGUCUAUCUUCUGCUUAUUUUAAAUACAGGUGGGAAGAAGCAAGCUGGUGUGAGAUCCCCAUUCCAUUACUGGGUAACGAAAUAACAACCUAGUCAUUAAAAAAACAUUGUGCCAUCAUUCUUGUGACUUUGUGUUCCUUCUGGAUGAAGCAUGCACGUGGUGAAUAACUUAAGUUAGCAACAUUCUGAAUAAGGUCAGCUUUCAAUCACAAGCCAGGAAGAGAAUGCCAUGUAAAAGUUAUGCGAUGAGCAGAAACCACAUAAAAAGUUAGAAUUUUAGACAAUAAAGUUGGACAGUCUCUUAAGAACCAUCAAAGCAGUCAUCAAGGAUGAUAUUGAAACAUUGAUAUGGCAGAAAGUCAUGGAGCCCUCUCCAAGCUUCUGGCUAUUGUGGACACCUCUGCUGAAUGAGUGCCCAUGCAAUGAGCAAAAAGAUGGUGAUAUUGCCCCCCUCAUUAUCAUCGAUUUCCUGGAUACUCUUUUCUGACAUCAGCAGAAAUGCCCACGGUGACUAGGAGCCUGGAUGGAACUUCAUGGCCAGCUAAGAACAGCAGUGAUAUGGAGGAGAUGGGAUAUAUCCAUCCUAGGACGCUUAUUUUGAGCCAUGUAAUGAGGUCGUAUGUUACAUUUGCUGCUGUUCUGAAUCCAGGGAAGAUUGAUCUCAGAAUAAACUGGAGGUGUAGAUUAGCCCUGAGAGAUAUAUAAUAGUUGAACAGUGAAAACGCAAAUACCUUUCAAGAAUUCUUUGAACCUUCCCUACAUACCUUGCAAAUGGCAAAACAAUGGUCUCUACUCAGGUAAGAGAGCUUGAUUUUCUUUCUGUUGAAUUUGGAGGACAAUUCAAAGAAAUCAGGGAGCCUCAUUACUACGUACUCCAUUCUUCUUCUUCUUUAUCCCCACAAAUCUCUCUUUAAAGGUUGGCUGGAAUGUUUAAUAGACUGACUGAACACUGAUACCUUUUUUUCAUUCUGUCCUGCCUGCCAGAUAUUUCACUUUCAUUUUACAAGCAGACUAUGACAAAAGCCCAGUAAUAAAGAACAAAACACCAAAAAGGGAAAUAUAAUAAAUUUCUUCUUCUUUCACAGAUGGGGGAUGCUGGAGCUUAAGGAGGGACUUAACAUGAAGGACUUUGUUGCCUCAUCGGGCUUCCACAUCAGAGAGUUCCUCUGAAGGCUUAGAGCAAUUCCUGCCCAUAGAGUCAAAAUGGGGUUGCAAAGGUGAGAGAAUAAAAUGGAAGAAGAUCAAAAAAUUGUCAUCUCAGGAAGGAACUCAUAAUGCUCCAAAUUUUUAAAAAAAUGGGGGGUAGAAAAGGUGUUUGCUAUUAUGUUUCAACAGUUCUUAGGGAAAAGGAGGUUUUCAUAUGAAAUAUACUUUUUAUUAUUAAAAUGGAAAUUCUGGUUGGAACACAAGGGAGUGAGACAAUACCAUGAAACAGAGCAGACUACUUUGAAAAGGAAACAUGCAGUAACUGAUCACAAGAGGAAACUGGAUAAAUUUCAGAAAUCUUAAGCAGGCAAAGUGAACAAAAGGUUACCCUAUCAAGAUUCUGUUCCCUUCAGGAGGACUAAAAUGAACAACCCAACUUAAGCCUCUUCCUUUCAUAACUCCAGAUCCCAGCAUACAGAUGCCUGCUAUAAUAAAAAGGAAGGGUUGCAAAGAUGAAAAGAGAAAAAGCAAAAAGGAAGGAAAGGAAGGAAAAGAAGGAAAGAAGAAAUGGAAUAAGGAUACAAAAACAGAAAGAAAUAAAAGUUUUGAGCCUAUUUCUAGCUGUGUGACAUAGAAAUAUUUAUUAUUUCCCAGUUCUGUUCAAGGUCUGCCUCCUUUUAAACAAUGAACAUAAAGUUUGAGGCUCACGUGUUUUUUAAAAAACAGCUUAUUUAUUCAAGUCCAAACCUAGAUAAAAAUCAAAUUCAUUUGGAAGGCUGAUACAGAGUUCAAUAGCCUUUAAUUUUUAAGAUGCACAUAAGCAGGCUAAUAAGCUAUUUGAAGUCAGCUACAACUUCAGAGACUUUGCUAGGGCAAGAUGAGUAAAUUAUAUUUUGAUACUUGAGAUGCGACUCGGAGGUCUGUGAACACACAUCAAGAGUGACUAGGAAGUGAACUGUAAGCUUUUAGUUACCAUAUUAUCUUUGAAUAGAUAAGGAAAUCGGUAUUUUCAAAAGACUGCAUCAGCACUAUGGAAGACAUGAGCCAUGACCUCUGUGGAAAUUGGCAAAGUAGUUUAAAAUGUGAGCGCUCUUCAGUAGCACCUAAGGGUUGUCACAGUUACAAUCCAGAGUUAAAUCUUAAAACUACAUUUUUGAAAUAUGAUAUAAAGAAUUCUUGUUCUUAUCACAAUACAGUACUAAAUUUCCUAGGAAAUUGUGAGGUUGGCUUUCUUUUGUAAAUGUGCAGUUUCAUCUUGUUGUGCUCCAGAAAUGUAUAGGCUGAGGAAAACACCGUGAAGAAAAAAGUCUAUUUGUUCUGUAUGCCCUUCUAAGUAAAGGUAUAAUUUUGCUUUUGCCAGAAGGAGAAAAGAGAACAUAAUGCAGAUAGUCUAGUGACAGCCUCCUGCUGAGAAAUAUUCAGGUCUUCUUCUGGAUGGCAGCUCUAAACUCAUUGAAAAGGAGAGACCAUCCUGGGAUUUAGUUUGAAAUUUAAAGACACAAUUUGGGAUGCUGACUCUAUUUGGGAAAUAGAGUUCAUCACCUUGAUUGGAUCAUUUUGGGCUAAAAGUUGAAGUGAUUUCUCUGCCUGCCUAGCAUAGAAGCCAUCAGCUGCUUAUAUACAUAUAACAUAGACCCCUUCUACACUGCGAUAUAAAAUCCAGAUUAUCUGCUUGGAAUUGAACUAUUGUAGUCCCAGUUCAAAGCAGAUAAUGUGGAUUAGCUGCUUUGAUAAUCUGGAUUAUAUGGCUGUGUAGAAGGGGCCACAGUUGCCAUAUUGCAAAACAAAGCAAAACAUUUAGCUUUUUUUCCCUUGGCAUUUGCUUUCCUAAAAUGAUUGUUUGUCUUUUAAGUGGAAGAAACUUUCUCUUUCCUAAAGCUGCCUUGAAUCCCAGCCUGGGAGGAAGACAUAAUCAAAAUAAAGAAAUGUGUGGGUAUUGUGGAGAUCCAUGUUAUAGAAUGCUUACCCCUUUUUAAAAAAUCCUAAUCUGCUUCCUUCUUUUUACAUAAACUACUAAUUGGAUGGUUUCAUUGUGAACAAUUUUUAAAUUGUUUUAUUUGUCUGCUUGUCACCUUGAGCUGUAUUUUUUUAAAAGAAAGAGGCAAUAUGAAAUGUCACAAUAUCAGCAGUCUAAAGGACCUAUGCAAUGUGAUAAAUGCCUUUGGCAGCUACGUGACAACUGUAGGAUUGUGUCCUAAGCUUAAAACAUUUUAUUUAAUCCCCUUAUACUAGGUAUUUUUUUAAAAUGGAUUUUGAUUUAUGGGGCAUUCUCUGACACUUGAGAAUUCUAAUAUAUUGCAGAUUAGGUCUUAGGAACAUGGGUGCUUGUUCUAUAUUCUGAGUAAAAUGCAUGCUUUUUGUAACAUAUUUUUUUCAACUGUAUAGUGCAAAAAGCAUAAUUCUAUUAUGUUUUCUUUGUGUAGUUAAACACAUAUUUCUUGUGUUGUAUUUUUCUCUUUGCACAGCAUGAAAUGCACACUUCUUGUAAAGUAUGGCUUUAUAUGUUUUUUGCAUUGUUAUUUGUAUAGUAUGAAAUGCCUGCUUUUUGUUUUGUUGGAUUUGUAUACUGUAAAUUGUAUGCUUUUAUUUGUACAGUGAAAAAUGCAUUGAUAUGGUAUAAAAUGCAUAGUGAAUAGAGAACAGUAUUCCUACCAAACUCUGUAAAAGACCCAUUGUCUCCCUGUCAAAAAAUGAAUUUUCCCCAAACAAAUUCAUUGCUGAGCACCAAAAUACAUAACAUCUUUUUAACCACAUGAUCAUUUUCCUGAAAAUUGAUAUAGAACAAGUUUGCCCUAAUGUAGUAUACCAGGCAUGGGCAAGCUUUUUUGC